rnacentral:rRNA from 1 species
GCUUAUGCGUUGUUGGGUAGGGGAGCGUUCUGUAAGCCUGUGAAGGUGUGCUGUGAGGCAUGCUGGAGGUAUCAGAAGUGCGAAUGCUGACAUAAGUAACGAUAAAGCGGGUGAAAAGCCCGCUCGCCGGAAGACCAAGGGUUCCUGUCCAACGUUAAUCGGGGCAGGGUGAGUCGACCCCUAAGGCGAGGCCGAAAGGCGUAGUCGAUGGGAAACAGGUUAAUAUUCCUGUACUUGGUGUUACUGCGAAGGGGGGACGGAGAAGGCUAUGUUGGCCGGGCGACGGUUGUCCCGGUUUAAGCGUGUAGGCUGGUUUUCCAGGCAAAUCCGGAAAAUCAAGGCUGAGGCGUGAUGACGAGGCACUACGGUGCUGAAGCAACAAAUGCCCUGCUUCCAGGAAAAGCCUCUAAGCAUCAGGUAACAUCAAAUCGUACCCCAAACCGACACAGGUGGUCAGGUAGAGAAUACCAAGGCGCUUGAGAGAACUCGGGUGAAGGAACUAGGCAAAA